rnacentral:rRNA from 1 species
AUUGAACGCUGGCGGCAGGCCUAACACAUGCAAGUCGAGCGAGCGGCGGACGGGUGAGUAAUGUAUGGGGACUGCCCGAUCGAGGGGGAUAACUACUGGAAACGGUAGUUAAUAACGCAUACUAUCGGAUGAAUCAUAUGGGAUUAGGUCGUCGGGGAGGUAAUGGCUCACCUAGGCGACGAUCCCUAGCUGGUCUGAGAGGAUGAUCAGCCACACUGGGACUAGGACGCGGCCCAGACGCCCACGGAGGCAGCGGUGGGGAAUAUUGCACAAUGGGCGCAAGCCUGGUGCAGCCAUGCCGCGUGUAUGAAGAAGGCCCUGGGGUUGUAAAGUACUUUCAGUCGGGAGGCGUUACCGACAGAAGAAGCACCGGCUAACUCCGUGCCAGCAGCCGCGGUAAUUC